AGAACGAACGCUGGCGGCGUGGAUAAGACAUGCAAGUCGAACGAUUAAACUCCUUCGGGAGAUAUAAAGUGGCGAACGGGUGCGUAACACGUGAGCAACCUGCCCAAAAGUUGGGGAUAGCUCGCCGAAAGGCGAAUUAAUACCGAAUGUGGUUAGGGGAGACAUCUCCCUCAAACUAAAGCCGCAAGGCGCUUUUGGAUGGGCUCGCGGCCUAUCAGCUUGUUGGUGAGGUAACGGCUCACCAAGGCUUUGACGGGUAGCUGGUCUGAGAGGACGACCAGCCACACUGGGACUGAGAUACGGCCCAGACACCUACGGGUGGCAGCAGUCGAGAAUUUUUCGCAAUGGGGGAAACCCUGACGGAGCGACGCCGCGUGAAGGAUGAAGGUCAUUAGAUUGUAAACUUCUGUCAUGCGAGAACAAGAAAGUGAUAGUAUCGCAAGAGGAAGGGGCGGCUAACGUCUGCGCCAGCAGCCGC
rnacentral:rRNA from 1 species